AAAAAGAAAAAGAAGAAGAAUAAUAAUAAUAAGAAGAAGAAAAAUGAAAAGCAGUGAACUUUAAAUUUGAACAACACCUGAACUUACUUAUGUGAAAUAACAAUUGAAACAAUUUUUCGUUCAAAAAGUUAACCGUAUUGUGAAAUCAAGUGCCUACAUACACACGCAUUCAUGCAACAGCAACGGCUUGUUGUUUGUUUGUUGUUAUAUCAUAAUAAAACGUAUUCAUAUAUAGAUAAAUAUAUAUAUAUAUAUAUAUAUAUAUAUAUAUAAUAUAUACAUGUAUGUAUGCAAAUGAAAUGAGUGACUACAUAUGUGAAUGUGUUUGUUUUUGUUAUAAAAAUAACUAAAUGAGUAACUUAUGUGCGACAACAUUAACGUAUAAUAACAAUAAUAACAUAUUUGAUAUUUGAUGACGAAUAAUAUUAGUGAGAAUAGAAAGAAAACGGCUGAACCGAUAAUUGGUUGUACUAGUGCAACCAUAGCCGCCAAUACAAUGUCGUCUGGUACUAAUAAAGUUAAAGAUGAAAAGGUCUGCGAAGCACAUAACAAAUCAAUUUCACAUCACAAUACAAAUAGUAACAGUAACAGUAAUAAUAAUAAUAAUAAUA